GAUGAAGAACGCAGCGAAAUGCGAUAAGUAAUGCGAAUUGCAGAAUUUCCGUGAGUCAUCGAAUCUUUGAACGCACAUUGCGCCCAUUGGUAUUCCGAUGGGCAUGCCUGUUCGAGCGUCAUUAUCUUCCCUCAAACCUCGCGUUUGGUGUUGGGCCGUGCUGGUUCCUGCGGGACCAACUGGCCUCAAAGACAAUGAUGGCGUCCGUGGGGACCCUCGAUGCAACGAGCUUUUCUCAGGAGCACGCGUCGAGUUUUAAAGGACCUUCCGGGCCGGUCUCUCAUGUUGUUACAUAAGGUUGACCUCGGAUCAGGUAGGGAUACCCGCUGAACUUAAGCAUAUCAAUAAGCGGAGGA
rnacentral:misc_RNA from 1 species